GUUCACUUUGGCAGAACAUAUACUAAAAUUGUAAUGACACAGAGAAGAGUAGCAUUGCCCCUGCACAAGGAUAACAGGCACAUUUGUGAAGCAUUCCAUAUUUUU
rnacentral:snRNA from 1 species